rnacentral:rRNA from 1 species
GUGUCAGCCGCCGCGGUAAUACGCAGGUGGCAAGCGUUAUCCGGAAUUAUUGGGCGUAAAGCGCGCGCAGGUGGUUUCUUAAGUCUGAUGUGAAAGCCCACGGCUCAACCGUGGAGGGUCAUUGGAAACUGGGAGACUUGAGUGCAGAAGAGGAAAGUGGAAUUCCAUGUGUAGGGGUGAAAUGCGUAGAGAUAUGGAAGAACACCAGUGGCGAAGGCGACAUUCUGGUCUGUUACUGACACUGAGGCUCGAAAGCGUGGGGAGCAAACAGGAUUAGAUACCCCCGUAGUCC